AUGGAUAAAAGUAGAGACUGGUACUGGUUUGGGUCUCUUGGCUCAACAAAACAAUGGGAGCACGUAAACAGGAGAGCUGAGAGGUGUCUAGAAGCGGGUGCUGACAUGAUAAUGGUUGAUGUUGAUGAUGUUUCCAAACAUACUGAUAAUAUGCAAGCAGAUGUUAUCGCACAAAUCAUAGGCCGCCUUGGUCUGGAGAAGACUAUCCAAU